rnacentral:miRNA from 1 species
UUUCCCAGACCCCCAAUACCAA